AGCGAACGCUGGCGGCAGGCCUAACACAUGCAAGUCGAACGAAGUCUUCGGACUUAGUGGCGGACGGGUGAGUAACACGUGGGAACGUACCUUUUGGUUCGGAACAACUCAGGGAAACUUGAGCUAAUACCGAAUGUGCCCUUAGGGGGAAAGAUUUAUCGCCAUUAGAGCGGCCCGCGUUAGAUUAGCUAGUUGGUGGGGUAAAGGCCCACCAAGGCUACGAUCUAUAGCUGGUCUGAGAGGAUGAUCAGCCACACUGGGACUGAGACACGGCCCAGACUCCUACGGGAGGCAGCAGUGGGGAAUCUUGCGCAAUGGGCGAAAGCCUGACGCAGCCAUGCCGCGUGAAUGAUGAAGGUCUUAGGAUUGUAAAAUUCUUUCAGUAGUGACGAUAAUGACGGUACCUACAGAAGAAGCCCCGGCUAACUUCGUGCCAGCCGCCGCAGUAAUAC
rnacentral:rRNA from 1 species